AAGUUCGAGCCCGUUAAUGGGUGAGAGCGUGCCUUUUGUAGAAUGAACCGGCGAGUUACGUUAUGAUGCGAGGUUAAGUUGAAGAGACGGAGCCGUAGGGAAACCGAGUCUGAAUAGGGCGCCUUAGUAUCAUGACGUAGACCCGAAACCAUGUGACCUACCCAUGAGCAGGUUGAAGGUGCGGUAAGACGCACUGGAGGACCGAACCAGGGCACGUUGAAAAGUGCUUGGAUGACUUGUGGGUAGCGGAGAAAUUCCAAACGAACUUGGAGAUAGCUGGUUCUCUCCGAAAUAGCUUUAGGGCUAGCGUCGACAUUAGAGAUUCUUGGAGGUAGAGCACUGUUUGGGUGAGGGGUCCAUCCCGGAUUACCAAUCUCAGAUAAACUCCGAAUGCCAAUGAAUUAUGGUCGGCAGUCAGACUGCGAGUGCUAAGAUCCGUAGUCGAAAGGGAAACAGCCCAGACCACCAGCUAAGGUCCCAAAAUAAUUGUUAAGUGGAAAAGGAUGUGGGGUUGCACAGACAACUAGGAUGUUAGCUUAGAAGCAGCUAUUCAUUCAAAGAGUGCGUAAUAGCUCACUAGUCGAGUGACCCUGCGCCGAAAAUGUACCGGGGCUAAAACAAUUUACCGAAGCUGUGGAUACCUUUAUAGGUAUGGUAGGAGAGCGUUCUAUGUGUGAUGAAGGUAUACCGUGAGGAGUGCUGGAACGCAUAGAAGUGAGAAUGCCGGUAUGAGUAGCGAAAGACAGGUGAGAAUCCUGUCCACCGUAAGACUAAGGUUUCCAGGGGAAGGCUCGUCCGCCCUGGGUUAGUCGGGACCUAAGGAGAGACCGAAAGGUGUAUCCGAUGGACAACAGGUUGAUAUUCCUGUACUAGAGUAUGUAGUGAUGGAGGGACGCAGUAGGCUAACUAAAGCAGACGAUUGGAAGAGUCUGUCUAAGCAGUGAGGUGUGAAUUGAGUCAAAUGCUUAAUUCUAUAACAUUGAGCUGUGAUGGGGAGCGAAGUUUAGUAGCGAAGUUAGUGACGUCACACUGCCAAGAAAAGCUUCUAGCGUUUAAACAUACUCUACCCGUACCGCAAACCGACACAGGUAGUCGAGGCGAGUAGCCUCAGGUGAGCGAGAGAACUCUCGUUAAGGAACUCGGCAAAAUGACCCCGUAACUUCGGGAGAAGGGGUGCUGACUUUAAGUCAGCCGCAGUGAAUAGGCCCAAGCAACUGUUUAUCAAAAACACAGCUCUCUGCUAAAUCGUAAGAUGAUGUAUAGGGGGUGACGCCUGCCCGGUGCUGGAAGGUUAAGAGGAGUGCUUAGCGUAAGCGAAGGUAUGAAUUGAAGCCCCAGUAAACGGCGGCCGUAACUAUAACGGUCCUAAGGUAGCGAAAUUCCUUGUCGGGUAAGUUCCGACCCGCACGAAAGGCGUAAUGAUUUGGGCACUGUCUCAACGAGAGACUCGGUGAAAUUUUAGUACCUGUGAAGAUGCAGGUUACCCGCGACAGGACGGAAAGACCCCAUGGAGCUUUACUGCAGUUUGAUAUUGAGUGUCUGUACCACAUGUACAGGAUAGGUAGGAGUCUAAGAGAUCGGGACGCCAGUUUCGAAGGAGACGCUGUUGGGAUACUACCCUUGUGUUAUGGCCACUCUAACCCAGAUAGGUGAUCCCUAUCGGAGACAGUGUCUGACGGGCAGUUUGACUGGGGCGGUCGCCUCCUAAAAGGUAACGGAGGCGCCCAAAGGUUCCCUCAGAAUGGUUGGAAAUCAUUCGCAGAGUGUAAAGGUAUAAGGGAGCUUGACUGCGAGAGCUACAACUCGAGCAGGGACGAAAGUCGGGCUUAGUGAUCCGGUGGUUCCGUAUGGAAGGGCCAUCGCUCAACGGAUAAAAGCUACCCUGGGGAUAACAGGCUUAUCUCCCCCAAGAGUUCACAUCGACGGGGAGGUUUGGCACCUCGAUGUCGGCUCGUCGCAUCCUGGGGCUGUAGUCGGUCCCAAGGGUUGGGCUGUUCGCCCAUUAAAGCGGCACGCGAGCUGGGUUCAGAACGUCGUGAGACAGUUCGGUCCCUAUCCGUCGCGGGCGUAGGAAAUUUGAGAGGAUCUGCUCCUAGUACGAGAGGACCAGAGUGGACUUACCGCUGGUGUACCAGUUGUCUUGCCAAAGGCAUCGCUGGGUAGCUAUGUAGGGAAGGGAUAAACGCUGAAAGCAUCUAAGUGUGAAACCCACCUCAAGAUGAGAUUUCCCAUGAUUAUAUAUCAGUAAGAGCCCUGAGAGAUGAUCAGGUAGAUAGGUUAGAAGUGGAAGUGUGGCGACACAUGUAGCGGACUAAUACUAAUAGCUCGAGGACUUAUCCAA
rnacentral:rRNA from 1 species